AUCACUUGCCCCCCACCAUGCAUCCUAUUUGGGAUGAUUGGCAUCGGGGCGGAUAUUGGACUCCCGUGCCUUUGGUGUGGUUGUCCUAAACCUGAGUCACCUUGGGUUGACGCACGACUAGUGGUGGUUGAAUAGACCCUCGUCCUAAGGUGUGCGUCGUAAGCCGUAAGGGAGGCCUUUGAAGACCCCAACGUGAGUCUUGCGACGAUGCUUCGACC
rnacentral:misc_RNA from 1 species